rnacentral:rRNA from 1 species
CCUACGGGUGGCUGCAGUGGGGAAUAUUGGACAAUGGGCGAAAGCCUGAUCCAGCCAUGCCGCGUGUGUGAAGAAGGCCUUCGGGUUGUAAAGCACUUUCAGUGGGGAAGAAAGCCUUGGGGCUAAUACCCUCGAGGAAGGACAUCACCCACAGAAGAAGCACCGGCUAACUCCGUGCCAGCAGCCGCGGUAAUACGGAGGGUGCGAGCGUUAAUCGGAAUUACUGGGCGUAAAGCGCGCGUAGGCGGUCUGAUAAGCCGGUUGUGAAAGCCCCGGGCUCAACCUGGGAACGGCAUCCGGAACUGUCAGGCUAGAGUGCAGGAGAGGAAGGUAGAAUUCCCGGUGUAGCGGUGAAAUGCGUAGAGAUCGGGAGGAAUACCAGUGGCGAAGGCGGCCUUCUGGACUGACACUGACGCUGAGGUGCGAAAGCGUGGGUAGCAAACAGGAUUAUACCUUUAGUC